AGCUUGAACACCGGCCGGUGGUGCUGUUGGAUCACGAGGAUGUUAACAUCAAUGGAGUCAUCCCUUGACAAAUUCGUGAUUUGAUGGCGGCAUUAUUGAGAGGCAGUAAAAGCCCAGAGGUCUACAGCACAUAACUGGGAGCAUGAAGCUUUGGGCAAAUGGACCUCGUGCAUUCUACAGGUUUGUCAUUUUAUCAUGAAUACAAGAUCAUCCUGCCUACAAAGUGUGCUAUGACUGGAGCCUAGAAGAAUUGUCAUCAGAGAGACCAGAGAGACUUCAUCCAGCAACUGAUGGGAGCAGAGCUGUGGCUGUGCUGUGAGUAGCUGCCUCAAGAUCCCUGCCUUGGUGCCUUCUGUGCUACGAUGGAU
rnacentral:lncRNA from 1 species